rnacentral:rRNA from 1 species
AACGAACGCUGGCGGCAUGCCUAACACAUGCAAGUCGAACGAGAGCUUCGGCUCUAGUGGCGCACGGGUGCGUAACGCGUGGGAAUCUGCCCUUGGGUUCGGAAUAACAGUUGGAAACGACUGCUAAUACCGGAUGAUGACGUAAGUCCAAAGAUUUAUCGCCCUGGGAUGAGCCCGCGUCGGAUUAGCUAGUUGGUGGGGUAAAGGCCUACCAAGGCGACGAUCCGUAGCUGGUCUGAGAGGAUGAUCAGCCACACUGGGACUGAGACACGGCCCAGACUCCUACGGGAGGCAGCAGUGGGGAAUAUUGGACAAUGGGCGCAAGCCUGAUCCAGCAAUGCCGCGUGAGUGAUGGAGGCCUUAGGGUUGUAAAGCUCUUUUACCUGGGAAGAUAAUGACUGUACCGGGAGAAUAAGCCCCGGCUAACUCCGUGCCAGCCGCCGCAGUAA